UACGAGUGCCCCAAGCGUUAUCCGGAAUCAUUGGGCGUAAAGGGUGUGUAGGCGGUUGUGUUAGUCUUCUGUUAAAUUCUUCGGCUUAACCGGGGGCAUGCAGAGGAAACGGCACAACUAGAGGAUGCGAGAGGUGAAUGGAACUCAUGGAGUAGGGGUGAAAGUCCGUUGAUAUCAUGGGGAACACCAAAUGCGAAGGCAGUUCACUGGCGCACUCCUGACGCUGAGACACGAAAGCGUAGGUAGCGAAUGGG
rnacentral:rRNA from 1 species